rnacentral:tRNA from 1 species
UCCCUGGUGGCUCAGAUGGUAAAGCAUCUGCCUGCAAUGCAGGAAACCCGGAUUCGACCCCUGGGUUGGGAA